rnacentral:rRNA from 1 species
GACGAACGCUGGCGGCGUGCCUAAUACAUGCAAGUAGAACGCUGAAGGAGGAGCUUGCUUCUCUGGAUGAGUUGCGAACGGGUGAGUAACGCGUAGGUAACCUGCCUGGUAGCGGGGGAUAACUAUUGGAAACGAUAGCUAAUACCGCAUAAGAGUAGAUGUUGCAUGACAUUUGCUUAAAAGGUGCAAUUGCAUCACUACCAGAUGGACCUGCGUUGUAUUAGCUAGUUGGUGAGGUAACGGCUCACCAAGGCAACGAUACAUAGCCGACCUGAGAGGGUGAUCGGCCACACUGGGACUGAGACACGGCCCAGACUCCUACGGGAGGCAGCAGUAGGGAAUCUUCGGCAAUGGACGGAAGUCUGACCGAGCAACGCCGCGUGAGUGCAGAAGGUUUUCGGAUCGUAAAGCUCUGUUGUAAGAGAAGAACGAGUGUGAGAGUGGAAAGUUCACACUGUGACGGUAUCUUACCAGAAAGGGACGGCUAACUACGUG